UAAUCAUCACCAAGUCUUCUGCUUUUUCCUUCUAAGUAACACAUGACGUGCAAAUGCAGGUCUCUAGGAUCCAGGGUCCAAAAGAAAUUAGUUUUACAUGAGAACAGCUGCAAAACAAGGAGAGGCUUUUCCUGUGGUGCCUCCUGGUUCCACACGACCCUUCAGUUCAGCCUCAGACUGAGGACUGGUUGUCAGUAAAGCUAAUAGUUGUCCUGUCAAAAAGACUUCACCACUUGAGCUGUGGGUAUCUGCAGCUCCUCAAGAGCUACCACAGGCCCCAGAGUCUAGCAAACCUCAGAGGCCUUUACAGAACAUCUGGAUUCAUACCGUGAUUGAAUUAAAUACAUUUGAGCCCGA